ensembl:lncRNA
AGAGGGAUUGAUGUCAAAUCUCUGCAUCUCCAAACCGCAUGAUGGAAAAGGGCAGAACUGCCAGCAUUUACGAUUACCAACUUAACUUACCAACCACUACAGAACUGGUGAUUCAUGUCUGAAGCAGUCUUUCAGUACCAGCUGCAGUCCUACAGGUGGUAAAUCUUCUCUAUUUUCAGAGCAUCCCUGGGAAGAACCCUGGAGUGAAGGAGGAGAAGCACAGGGGGUGGUGUGGCGCUGAACAGAGCCUGGAAAUGCUAUAUCUCUCAAAAUGCUGCACUCCAGGGAGCCCUGAAAGCUGCUGCAACCUAUCUCAGAAAAUGCUAUGUCAGAAAGAAAAAUAGAUUUUUUUCCUAAACUUCCUUGAAUUCUAAAGACAACAUUUAAGGCAAUCCUAAGAAGUAGCCACAGAAUGUGACUUUUUUCCCUUUUUUUUUUUUUUUUUUUUUAAGUGCUUGUCUGAAAAUACUGCCUGAUAUGCCUGGAGAGAACCUUGGAGUACCAAAGGAAAUACUUGUGUCAUUGGCUUACUAAAUGAAUAGUAACUCUAUGGAUGUCAGAAUGAUUCAGGUGAUCACCAUUUAUAUCUUCCUCUUACUUCAUUUAGGUUUGCUCACUUUGCCCACAGGAGAUGGUGAAUAAGCCCCCUUCCAUCAUACUUGCUCUCCAGACAGACACCCAGGAGUCACCCGCAUCACCAGAUUCUGCAGAGGGCAGCAUUAAGAGCCAGGGUGAUACAUCAUUUUUUCCUGUCCAAUGCUGCUCUCUGUUGAAUGAAGUUGUAGGCGGCACAUCACGUUUGCAGUAUAUAUUGAUUUACGAUUUCAAAGUGCUGAACAAACAACUCAUUCUUCCAAGCAGACCACAGAUAAUGACUCAUUAGCUCCAAUUUAAUAUGCAGGAAAAGUGGGAGGACAAUGGUUGCACAAUUAAUCUGCUAGGCCACAGGGCAUUAAGGAUGCCAUGCUCAUCUGCUCCGCCAAUGGAGCUGCAUUAGCUCCACUGCUUGAAGCACCCAAGUGGAGGAGAAGAAAGAACCCCUUCAGCUCCUCUGUGCUGCUGCAUUCUGGGGUUUGACACCUCCUGUGCACAUUUUUUGUCCUGUUAGUCGAUGCACUGGCAUUGAACUCCACAUCUGGCUUGUGCUUUUUCUACAGCAGCUGAAAUGCAGUUUCUUGUCUUCCCAGGGAAAGGAUGCAUUGCAAGGAAAUGCUCAGUUGGAUUGUUUUCGCUUCCUUCUUUCUUUGACAGUUUUGUCUUUCCAUGGGCUGCCCUUCUGUCAGAUGUGUCUCCUUUCUGCUGGAGAACUUG